CGAAGUAUAGCUUAAGUAAAGCACCUUGCUUACACCAAGAAGAUGUCCGCCACACAAACUACUUCGAG
rnacentral:tRNA from 1 species